GCAAGUCGAGCGGAAACGAUGGGAGCUUGCUCCCAGGCGUCGAGCGGCGGACGGGUGAGUAACGCGUGGGAAUCUAUCCAGUAGCGGGGGAUAGCCCGGGGAAACUCGGAUUAAUACCGCAUACGCCCUACGGGGGAAAGCAGGGGAUCUUCGGACCUUGCACUAUUGGGAGAGCCCGCGUCGGAUUAGCUAGUUGGUGGGGUAAAGGCCUACCAAGGCGACGAUCCGUAACUGGUCUGAGAGGAUGAUC
rnacentral:rRNA from 1 species